UACAUAUUCCCUUCGUCCGAAAUUACUUGUCACACAAAUGGAUAAAAAAAGAUGUAUCUAGAACUAAAAUACAUUUAGAUAUAUCCAUUCUUACGACAAGUAUUUUCAGACGAAAGGAGUAUAUC
rfam:Hordeum vulgare subsp. vulgare, WGS project CAJW01000000 data, contig: morex_contig_134075